GACAACACACCCUUACCGGAACCCCACUGACUGCUGUUCAAAAAUCGGCUCCAUACUCUUCAUCUCAAACCUGAAAAAGCAACACUAUCGAGACAGAACUCCCUACAUUCAUUUAAGAGUAGCGUGAGCUUCUCAUCACAGGCAUCAUUCAGGGUAGACGGUCUAGGUGUGGAACAGGCUAUUUAAUGGUGGAGUUAAGAGUGUUUAGGGGCUACCAUUUCAUUGAAGAGGAUGCAGGAUAUCACACAAAAUGGCAAGAGAGGAUAGAUCCAUUGAUGUCCACAGCCUCUACUCGUUUUUGCUCUAUCUGGUGCGACUGUUCUGAUGACGGAACAGGCAACUGAUUGUUCUGCUUUCCACUUUCCUCUACACACUCUUCAAUACUUGGUACCAACUUCUUGCUCGACCUUUCUAGUGGCUCCAUGUUUCUUUUCUUUCUUCCCCUUCUCCAUCACAUUAAUCUCGUUUUUUUUUUCUUAUUCUUUUUUUUUAAGACUGAUAUGGUGAUGUGACGAAGAAGGAGGUAAUACAUGAUCGUUCUGAGUGCCACUGGUGGUUCUGAUUUCACGACCUUUCUGGUUCUCCACCCCUGCUCUUGCGCAGUUCAUUGGUUAUGUAGCGGUUGCUCCCUUAAUCUGCUUGUUCUCCCUUCUGACAUAAUUUUUGCAGCAGUAACGAGUAGGAGGCUGCGUUGAUCAUUUCCUCUCCAACCUUUUUGCACAUAUCUGCACAUAUGACACUGAAAAACAAAUGCAUGAAGGUGGAAUAAAGGCUAAGGUGCAGGGUGGGAACUAGCUAAAGAUGAGCUAGCCACUCAGGAUCAGAAAGAUGGAUAAAAAGGAUAAAAAGUCCUGAGUGUGUUCUCGUUUCCCUGAUCUAAUGCUCAUAACAAGAAGAAUUUCAGUUAAGAUUAGGUUCAAGUAAGGUGGAGUUAAGUCUACCCAGUGUAACCUGAUCGGCUGAGAACUUCUGGAGAAUCAAGUGAGAUAUGUCAGGUUGUUCCAGGUCCACAUGUGUGUCUUUCACCACUGCUAAGGUCACUGAAUAAGAUAACUAACGCACGAGGUGGUUAGUGAUCAACACGGAAUAAGGUCCUAAUUCC
rnacentral:lncRNA from 1 species